UCCAGGUUAUCCCUGGCGGUCUCCUGCGAGUUCCGUCUUUCGACAUGGCAACACAGGACAAGGGUUGCGCUCGUUGCGGGACUUAACCCAACAUCUCACGACACGAGCUGACGACAGCCAUGCAGCACCUCGACUAAUGUCCCUUGCGGGAAAAGAAACUUUCAUCUCCGGUCAUUAGCCGUUCGAGCCCAGGUAAGGUUCUUCGCGUUGCGUCGAAUUAAACCACAUGCUCCACCGCUUGUGCGGGCCCCCGUCAAUUCAUUUGAGUUUUAACCUUGCGGCCGUACUCCCCAGGCGGUCAACUUAAUGCGUUAGCUGCGCCACUAAGAGCUCAAGGCUCCCAACGGCUAGUUGACAUCGUUUACGGCGUGGACUAC
rnacentral:misc_RNA from 1 species